GCUGACCCGGUUAAGCCUUUGGCUGCUAACCAAAAGGUCGGUAGUUCGAAUCCACC
rnacentral:tRNA from 1 species